ACAGCAAAAUCUAGGUGCCUUUUCAGUACUUUUUGUACCAACUACUAAAUAAAAUCCAAUUCAACUUCUACUCAACCAUAUUGGUGAUAAUUUUCUAUUUUGUGUCUGGAAUUGUUGUGUUUCGGAAUAACACGGCCAAAAAAAGAGUUAUUUUUUUUUUUAUUAUUAUCUGUGUUUACUUUUACUUGUCACGUUUGAACUGAGUUUACUUUUACUUAUCACAUUUAAACUGUAUUUAUUUUUACUUGUCAUAUUUAAACUGUGUUUACUUUUAUUUGUCACAUUUGAACCGAGUUUACUUUUAUUUAUCACAUUUAAACUGUGUUUACUUUUACUUGUCACAUUUAAACUGUGUUUACUUUUACUUAUCACGUUUAAACUAGACACAUCCGUUAAGAAAAUAAUGAUUUGAACUAGAUGUUUUAGUAUUAGUUCUUGAAAAAUAAUUUUGGAGCAAUUAAUUAAUGCUAAGGUAAAAUAUGAAAAAAUUAAUACAAGGAAAAGUGAGUGGAGGGUGUUCAUUUCCUUGAAAAAUUAGCAUUAGAAAAUGUAAAAGAUUUGAGUCUUUAGGGAGUCAAGAAGUAAGUUUGAGUUAUCUUUGUGAAAAUUCCAAAUUUGGGUUUUCAAGAAAAGGACAAUCUUGGGAUGGAUUUGUGGAAUUGAGACCUGUUGAUUAAGUGAAUAGUCUUAGGGGGAAAGGUAAAAUGGUUGGUGGAAGAGUUACCUUGUACUUGUUGUUUGCUGGGAGGUGACAGUCCCGUUGAAUUAGUCGAAGUUGGUUGGUGGAUAGAGUUACUUGACAUCUAUUGUUUGCUGGGAGGUGACAGGUAUCCUGUGGAAUUAGUCGAAGUUGUUUGGUGGAUAGAGUUACCUAGUACCUGUUGUUAGUGGAAAGUGACAGGUUGGUUGGUGGAUAUAGUUACCUGGCAUCUAUGGUUUGCCGGGAGGUGGCAGGUAUCCCGUGGAAUUAGUUGAAGUUGGUUGGUGGAUAGAGUUACUUGGUACCUGUUGGUGGGAGGCAACAGGUGUCCCGUGGAAUUAGUUGGAGUUGGUUGGUAAAUAGAGUUACCUGGUAUCUAUUGUUUGCUGGGAGGUGGCAGGUAUCUCGUCGAAUUAGUCGAAGUUGGUUGGUGGAUAGAGUUACUUGGUAUCUAUUGUUUGCCAGGGUGGCAGGUAUUCCGUGGUUACCUGUUAUCUAUUGUUUGCCGGGAGGUGUCAGGUAUCCCGUGGUUACCUGGUAUCUAUUGCUUGCCAGGAAGUGGCAGCUAUUCCGUGGAAUUAGUUGAAGUUGGUUUAGAGUUACCUGGUAUCUAUUGUCUGCUGGGAGGUGUUAGAUAUCCCGUAGAAUUAGUCGAAAUUGGUUGGUGGAUAGAGUUACUUGGUACCUGUUGUUUUCUGGGAGGUGUUAGGUAUCCCGUAGAAUUAGUCGAAAUUGGUUGGUGGAUAGAGUUACUUGGUACCUGUUGUUUUCUGGGAGGUGACAGGUAUCCCGUGGAAUUAGUCGAAGUUGGUUGGUGGAUAGAUGCAUCUAUUGUUUGCUGGGAGGUGACAGGUAUCCUGCCUGUGGAAUUAGUCGAAGUUGGUUGGUGGAUAGAGUUACCUGACAUCUAUUGUUUGCUAGGAGGUGGCAAGUAUCCGGUGGAAUUAGUCGAAGUUGCUUGGUGGAUAGAGUUACUUGGUACCUGUUGCUAGUGGGAGGCGACAGAUGUCCCGUGGAAUUAGUCGAAGUUGGUUGGUGGAUGGUGGGAGGUGGCAGGUAUCCUGCGGAAUUAGUCGAGGUGCGUGCAAGCUGGCCCGAACACCUCCCACCAGAGAAAGAACUAAUAUAUCUGUUCAUAGCAGGUUUAGGCCAGUUGGUGACGGGGGUGUUGUUGCAUUGUCAAACCAUGUUGGUGGAACUAAUAGUCUUGGCAGCCGAGUAGUCAUGAAACAUGUAGUGAUAGUAUACGCAGAACUACAAGCUCGGUUAACAGUUCAGUUUUACCAUCUGAGUUAUCCACGAGACCUAGAAUUGUUGUGUGGCUAAUGCACGAGGAGAAUGCAUACGGAGAUUGCAGGCUUGUUGAACAGAAUUGAAGCAGCCAAACAGCUCCUGGUAUUACAUAAUCUGUUCUUUGACUAUUUCUCAGGUAAGUGCAAUGGAUAAUUUUGUCGACACGAGAAUGGUUGGUGAACUAUUAUAAGUCUUUGGGAUACUUCAAGUUUCCUUUGUUAAUACAAUGUUUGGUUUCAUUUAUUUUUUCCCAUAUAAAAGAUUAAUCUACCUGUAUGCCACGGUGUUCUGUCUUGCAUCUGCAUCCGUCAAUGUAUAUGGAACGUUACUGCAUUUUGGCCUCAAUCAUGGACCUAUUUAUGUCCUCCGGCGUAAUAAUUCCUUGUUGCUGUUAUAUGGCUGAAUCCGUUCAUGGUUUGCCUACGGUUUUUAGGAACCUCUAGUCUACGAAUAAGUUUAUUAAAUUGUUCAUGGCGUUUGUACUUGAAAAAUGAUGUAUAUCGUAGUUGCGCUUUGCAUACAUGUACUAUUUUUCUGCUUAUAAUCCCUGAAUGUUUUUCAUUUUCAAGAAUUGACUUUCUUGCAGCUUCCGCUUCAUAUUUCAUUGACACAAAGCAUAAAGACUUUUUUACUAAUAAUAUAGAUUAUCCUUAAUUAACAGGCAACAAUGGCUUGUCGAACUUUCCUUCUUCUGAUUUUCCUGCAUCUACCUCCCGUAUUGGAGGUGAAUGUUCUACGAAUCCAUCAAAUAAAGAUUUGGUUGAUAGCUUGAGAAGCUUUGAAACAUCGUGCGGAUGAUACACGAGGAGAGGCUGAGAGUUUGAGACGGCUCUCUUGGCUGAAGAGCAGAUAACUAGAGGAAGAGUAUUCUGAAAAAAACGUCCAAACUGAGGCUGCCGAAAAUCGAGGAAAGGAGGAAGAAAAAGGCGGAAGAGCUCAAGGCUUUGGAGAAUUCACUUUCCGAUUGCAACGAGGUGAAAACUAGAAUGCAUAUGGAAUUUUCAGCCAUGUUAAGCAGAAUGGAUGCAGCCAAAAAGCCACCGGCUGCGAUGGCUUGUCGGAGUUUUCUUCUUCUACUUUUCCUGCAACAGCCUUCAACGAUCGAGCUAGUAGUCUUCGGAAACAUGCAGUUACUGAUCUUCCUUCAUCUACCUCCUUUCUUAGCAAAUCUUCUUUUAAGAUCUUCACUCCGUUGGAAGAUUUUUGGAACAAAAUCAAGCUCUUUCAUCAAUGUUUCCUCAUCCCAUUCCUUCGCACAAGACAUGAAUACGUCCUUAACGAAGCCAAACAUUUGCAAGGCAUGACCACAUCCAAGACAGUUAAAUUGCAGCUCAUUUGUCCCGGAAGAGCUUGGACCUGGCUUUAUAAGAUUUCGACGAAUAGCACAAACAGCAUGGCCCCAAUGCAAGCAUGCAUCACAGCCUACCCAACUGCAAGUAUUAUUGGCACAGUCAAAGUUCAAACACGCAGAACACAUGCAUUCGCUGCAGAAUCCCUUCUUCGUUGAACAAAUCUUGCGGUCGCAAUCCUCAACAGGCAAAGUCUCCGGCAAUCUAUGUUUCGACACCUUUCAAGUAAGAAAACUUCCACCAAUUCCGUUGUUGGAAGGCUGGUUUUUUCGGAUAAGAAGCCUCCAAGACCUGUUUUUAUUGCAACCAAAAACUCCAGUUGGAUCUGAUGACACUUCAAGAGAGUCUCGUUGGUAAGAUCAGAUCGGCUAUCAAGUGUGGUCUGAAGGCUAACGAACUCAUCUUUAUUUUCCGGCAUUGUAAUCAAGUUCAUCAAGUGUUCUUUGGUUGAUGCAACUGUUUCUUCACCGAGAUGUUGCACAAUCAGAGCCAUAAGAGGAAUAAGCUCUGACACUAUUUCGCUAAGUAUUUUCCCUUGCCUAAAUAAAAUGCGCAGAGAGGUUAAAAAUCUCACAGAUUGGAAGGAAGUAGUUCAGAAAUUUGUCCUCGAUUUCAAUAAUGAUCUUCCUGCGUCUACCUCCCGUAUUCCCAAAUCUUCCUUCUAUGAUGUUAGCUUGUCAAGCGGAUGAAAAUAUAUGAGGCCUGCUGAUCAUUGUCCAAAUGAUGUAAAGCUUCUUUUCCGCCUGCCAAAAUGAUUGUAGAUGAAUGGUCCCUGAAACUAUCGAAGAAAGAUGAGGUCGAUAGGUCGAGAAGCAUUGUACGGAUCAAAGAAGCAGUCACGGUUGUUUCAGCGUUGUGAAGAUGAUGCACAAGUAUAGGCAGGGAAUUUGAGGUGGUUGGCUUGGUUGCGGAGUGUGAAAAUGGAUGAAGAGUAUUCUGAAAAACUCUCCGAACUGUGCUUGCAGAAAACCGAAGAACGGAGGAUAAAAAUAGUUGGAAUAGCUCAUGAAUUUGGAGGUGUCACAUUGCGAUUACUACGAGAUGAAAAUGAGAACGGAUAUGGAGAUUGCAGGCUUGUUAAGCAGAAUGGAAGCAGCCAAACAGCUACUGGUUUGAACUAAAGCUACUAGGUUCGGUCAAGCUCGUAGUUCAUCUUCUCAGCUUCCAGCUCCGCCCGUGGCUUCAGGCACAAGCCAGUUGGGGAAGUGAUGACUCGUCAGACUUUUCGUCUAAUUUUCCUGCAAACGGACUUUUGUAAUCACGUUUCUGGGCUUCAGUUGCUGCUGAGUUAUAUGUUUCUUUCCUGAAAAGUACUUUAUUGGCACAUUUGGUUCGCACAUUGACCUAAUAUUUUCAAAAUUAUAAAAACAAAAUCAUGCCACUUCAUGAACUCUCGUUUAGACUAAAGCUCCGGCUUCUAAUUUGAGACGUGCUGGUGACUUCUUUACCAAUAUUGUGAUAGAAGGGUUAUUAUCGUAGUUGACUUUCUUGCGUGUGGCAUGGAUGGAGUUGAAAUGGAUCCCGAAAGGUAGAGAAUGUGCCAUUCGGCUAUAAUGUUGAUCGAUUUGGCUUAUUAAUUGCUUUGCUUUCGAACCUGAAAAUUUCUUCCUACUAUAUACAAGCCGGAAUUUCUAGCAAAGCUUCCAGAAAUGUGGCGUGGACUUGUUAAUAUAUACCUCCUUGCUGUUAGAGGGCCCGUUGCUGCAUGUCCUGGUAUUAUAGAGGCAUUGUGCAAUAUAGCUCGCUCAUCGCGUGGAAACAGCCUCCGGCAGAAGUGCAAGGUAAGACUGCAUACAAUACACUCUUGUGGUGGGGCCCUUCCCCUAACCCUGCGCAUAGCGGGAGCUUUAGUGCACCGGUCUGCCUUUUUAGCUCGCUCAUCGCAUGACUGACGAUAUAUGGCAAUUGGCUGUCUUUGGGGUUGCUCCAGGAUCCAAGUACCUGUCGUAAGGUCCGGUCUGUGAAACCAUCGAAGAAAGAUGACAUCGAUAGCUCGGGAAGCAAUGUACCGAUCAAAGAAACAGACGGGAGGUAUGUUUCAGAGUCGUGCAGAUGAUGCACGAGGAGAAGCAGGGAGUUUGAGACGGUUAGCUACACUAAACUUGAGGAUGAGUAUUCUGAAAAACUCUCCAAACUGUUGGUUGCGGGAAACUGACGAAAGGAGGAGAAAGAAGUCGGAAGCGCUCACAACUUUGGAGAACGCGCAUCGCGAUUACUACGAGAUGAAAAUGAGAAUGCAUAUGGAGAUUCCAGGCUUGUUAAAUAGAAUGGAAGCAGCCAAACAGCUACUGGUAUAACCUUGUUGCAAGUUUUUCUUCAUAGUAAAUGGUUGGUGGACUAUUAGAAAAUGGAGUGCUUCGGAGUAACUGGUAAAGUUGUUGCUAUGUGACGGGGAGGUGACAGGUUCAAGACGCGGAAACAGUCUCUUGCAGAAUUGGAAGGUAACGUUGCGUACGAUAGAUCCUUGUGGUCCAGCCUUUCCCGGAAUCGGAUAACGGGAGUUUUAGUGCAUACUGAUAAAGUUGUUGCCAUGUGAUUAGGAGGUCACGGGUUCAAAAUAUGAAAACUGCAUAAAUGGAAGGUAACGUUGCGUACCAUAGAUCCUUGUUGUCCGACCCUUCCCGAAAUUGCAUAGCGGGAGUUUUAGGUCAUGGAUUCCAGACGUGUCACGGGUUCAAAAUGUGAAAACUGCAUAAAUGGAAGGUAACGUUGCGUACCAUAGAUCCUUGUCGUCCGACCCUUCCCGGAAUUAAUUGCAUUUUCGACCCUUUCUGGAUGCGCAUAGCGAGAGUUUUAGUGCAUAUUGAUAAAGUUGUCAUGUGACCAGGGAGGUCACAAGUUCAAGACGUGGAAACUGUCUCUUGCAGAAAUAGAAGGUAACAUUGCAACCAUAGAUCCAUGUGGUCUGACCCUUCCCGAACUCGCAUAGAUAAAGUUGUUUUCAUGUGAUCAGGAAGUCACGGGUUCAAGACGUGAAAACUGCAUAAAUGGAAGGUAACGUUGCGUACCAUAGUUACUUGUCAUCCGACCUUUCUCGGAAUUGUAUUGCGAAGUUUUAGGUCAUGGAUUCCUGACGUGGAAACAGUCUCUUGAAGAAAUAGAAGGUGGUGUUGCAUACGAUAGAUCUUUGUGGUCCGACCCUUUCUGGAUGCGCAUAGUGGGAGUUUUAGUGCAUAUUGAUAAAGUUGUUGUUAUGUGACCAGGGAGGUCACAGGUUCAAGACGUGGAAUCUGUCUCUUACAGAAAUAGAAAGUAACAUUGCAACCAUAGAUCCUUGUGGUUCGGCCCUUCUCGAACUCGCAUAGCGGGAGUUUUAGUGCAUAUUGAUAAAGUUGUUGUGAUGUGACCACGAGGUCACGGGUUCAAGACGCAAAAACAGUCUCUUGCAGAAAUGAAAGGUAACAUUGCGUACCAAUAAAUCCUUGUGGUCCGUCCCUUCCCAGACGCACAGCGGGAGUUUUAGUGCAUCGAGCUUCUAUUUGGUUGGUGUUCUAUUAUAAGUCUUUGGAAUUACCUUCAAGUUACAAUGUUUUCAUUAAUUUUUUUUCAUAUAAAACUUAAAAACAUUAUUCGAUACAAUGGGAAAUUUCAAUUUUCCUUUUCCA